rnacentral:rRNA from 1 species
AGUGAACGCUGGCGGUAGGCCUAACACAUGCAAGUCGAACGGCAGCACAGUAAGAGCUUGCUCUUACGGGUGGCGAGUGGCGGACGGGUGAGGAAUACAUCGGAAUCUACUUUUUCGUGGGGGAUAACGUAGGGAAACUUACGCUAAUACCGCAUACGACCUACGGGUGAAAGCAGGGGAGCUUCGGACCUUGCGCGAUUGAAUGAGCCGAUGUCGGAUUAGCUAGUUGGCGGGGUAAAGGCCCACCAAGGCGACGAUCCGUAGCUGGUCUGAGAGGAUGAUCAGCCACACUGGAACUGAGACACGGUCCAGACUCCUACGGGAGGCCGCAGUGGGGAAUAUUGGACAAUGGGCGCAAGCCUGAUCCAGCCAUACCGCGUGGGUGAAGAAGGCCUUCGGGUUGUAAAGCCCUUUUGUUGGGAAAGAAAAGCAGCAGGUUAAUACCCCGCUGUUCUGACGGUACCCAAAGAAUAAGCACCGGCUAACUUCGUG